rnacentral:rRNA from 1 species
AUUGAACGCUGGCGGCAGGCCUAACACAUGCAAGUCGAACGAGUGGCGGACGGGUGAGUAAUGUCUGGGAAUCUGCCUGGUGGAGGGGGAUAACUACUGGAAACGGUCGCUAAUACCGCAUACCAUCGGAUGUGCCGAGAUGGGAUUAGCUAGUGGGGGGGGUAAAGGCUCACCUAGGCGACGAUCCCUAGCUGGUCUGAGAGUAUGAGCAGCAACACUGGAACUGAGACACGGUCCAGACUCCUACGGGAGGCAGAAGUGGGGAAUAUUGCACAAUGGGCGCAAGCCUGAUGCAGCCAUGCCGCGUGUAUGAAGAAGGCCUUCGGGUUGUAAAGUACUUUCAGCGGGGAGGCGUUACCCGCAGAAGAAGCACCGGCUAACUCCGUGCCAGCAGCCGCGGUAAUUC